GGGAAAGUGGCUCAGUGGUAGAGUGCUUGCCUUGCAUGCAUGAAGCCCUGGGUUCAAUUCCUCAGCACCA
rfam:Dipodomys ordii contig_59099, whole genome shotgun sequence.